GGAUGGGGACCCUGACGGCUCCGUCUGUCACAGCACGGUGACAAGAAACCACGCUGGUGCCGCCAAACCCCGCGUCCUGUCCCUAUUCCCGCCCUCAUUCCACCGGGAUGCCCGCGCGGCCUUUUUGGUGUCGGCCACGGCCCGUUCCACGAAUCCCACGGACUGGUCCAUGUUGUUCUCUAUGCGGUCGAUCAUGGCUCCCUACGGAGCACCCGGGGGACACAGAGAAGGGGGGAACACUGAGAGCACCCCGGGGUGCUGGCACCCACCCACCUGGCGCACCUGGCCCCAGCACCAGAUCAUCUCCAUGCUCUGCUCCACCUGCUCGGCUACGCGUUAUCCAGCAACCCACCCUGGGGGAGAAGGGACAAGGUCGGUGGGGACACAGUGACACAGCCCCACAGCACGUGGCACACCCGCACACACAGGUCCCUGCGUGUCCCCGUACCUGAUUCUCCACCAGCAUGGCGAUGUCCACGAACAUGUCGUGGAGCUCCUUGAUGCUGCUCUCCAGGCGCACGAUGUCCUUGUGCCGCCCCUCGAUCUCGCUCAGCGCCUG